UACAGAGGGUGCGAGCGUUGUUCGGAAUUACUGGGCGUAAAGGGCGCGUAGGCGGCACUGUUAGUCAGGCGUGAAAGUCCUGGGCUCAACCUGGGAACUGCGCUUGAUACGGCAGAGCUAGAGGAUGGAAGAGGCUCGCGGAAUUCCCAGUGUAGAGGUGAAAUUCGUAGAUAUUGGGAAGAACACCGGUGGCGAAGGCGGCGAGCUGGUCCAUUACUGACGCUGAGGCGCGACAGCGUGGGGAGCAAACAGG
rnacentral:rRNA from 1 species